UGCCUCUCAGGAUGGCACCUGGAGAGAUUCCAGUCCUCUACCAUUCUCAGCUAUGGGAGGGAGAGUCAAGCAAAGUCCUACCCAUUCCAUUCCUAGCUUGGCCAGUGGCUAGCGAGUGGAAGGCCAUCUGCUACAAGU